CCUACGGGAGGCAGCAGUAGGGAAUAUUGCACAAUGGGGGAAACCCUGAUGCAGCAACGCCGCGUGGAGGAUGAAGGUUUUAGGAUUGUAAACUCCUUUUGUUAGAGAAGAUUAUGACGGUAUCUAACGAAUAAGCACCGGCUAACUCCGUGCCAGCAGCCGCGGUAAUACGGAGGGUGCAAGCGUUACUCGGAAUCAUUGGGCGUAAAGAGAGCGUAGGCGGGAUAGCAAGUCAGAUGUGAAAUCCUAUGGCUUAACCAUAGAACUGCAUUUGAAACUGUUAUUCUAGAGUAUGGGAGAGGUAGGUGGAAUUCUUGGUGUAGCGGUGAAAUCCGUAGAGAUCAGGAGGAAUACUCAUGGCGAAGGCGACCUGCUGGAACAUAACUGACGCUGAUGCGCGAAAGCGUGGGGAGCAAACAGGAUUAGAUACCCCAGUAGUC
rnacentral:rRNA from 1 species